rnacentral:rRNA from 1 species
UCCUGACUGACCGAUAGUGAACCAGUACCGUGAGGGAAAGGCGAAAAGAACCCCGGCGAGGGGAGUGAAAAAGAACCUGAAACCGUGUACGUACAAGCAGUGGGAGCACGCUUAGGCGUGUGACUGCGUACCUUUUGUAUAAUGGGUCAGCGACUUAUAUUCUGUAGCAAGGUUAACCGAAUAGGGGAGCCGAAGGGAAACCGAGUCUUAACUGGGCGUUAAGUUGCAGGGUAUAGACCCGAAACCCGGUGAUCUAGCCAUGGGCAGGUUGAAGGUUGGGUAACACUAACUGGAGGACCGAACCGACUAAUGUUGAAAAAUUAGCGGAUGACUUGUGGCUGGGGGUGAAAGGCCAAUCAAACCGGGAGAUAGCUGGUUCUCCCCGAAAGCUAUUUAGGUAGCGCCUCGUGAAUUCAUCUCCGGGGGUAGAGCACUGUUUCGGCAAGGGGGUCAUCCCGACUUACCAACCCGAUGCAAACUGCGAAUACCGGAGAAUGUUAUCACGGGAGACACACGGCGGGUGCUAACGUCCGUCGUGAAGAGGGAAACAACCCAGACCGCCAGCUAAGGUCCCAAAGUCAUGGUUAAGUGGGAAACGAUGUGGGAAGGCCCAGACAGCCAGGAUGUUGGCUUAGAAGCAGCCAUCAUUUAAAGAAAGCGUAAUAGCUCACUGGUCGAGUCGGCCUGCGCGGAAGAUGUAACGGGGCUAAACCAUGCACCGAAGCUGCGGCAGCGACGCUUAUGCGUUGUUGGGUAGGGGAGCGUUCUGUAAGCCUGCGAAGGUGUGCUGUGAGGCAUGCUGGAGGUAUCAGAAGUGCGAAUGCUGACAUAAGUAACGAUAAAGCGGGUGAAAAGCCCGCUCGCCGGAAGACCAAGGGUUCCUGUCCAACGUUAAUCGGGGCAGGGUGAGUCGACCCCUAAGGCGAGGCCGAAAGGCGUAGUCGAUGGGAAACAGGUUAAUAUUCCUGUACUUGGUGUUACUGCGAAGGGGGGACGGAGAAGGCUAUGUUGGCCGGGCGACGGUUGUCCCGGUUUAAGCGUGUAGGCUGGUUUUCCAGGCAAAUCCGGAAAAUCAAGGCUGAGGCGUGAUGACGAGGCACUACGGUGCUGAAGCAACAAAUGCCCUGCUUCCAGGAAAAGCCUCUAAGCAUCAGGUAACAUCAAAUCGUACCCCAAACCGACACAGGUGGUCAGGUAGAGAAUACCAAGGCGCUUGAGAGAACUCGGGUGAAGGAACUAGGCAAAAUGGUGCCGUAACUUCGGGAGAAGGCACGCUGAUAUGUAGGUGAAGUCCCUUGCGGAUGGAGCUGAAAUCAGUCGAAGAUACCAGCUGGCUGCAACUGUUUAUUAAAAACACAGCACUGUGCAAACACGAAAGUGGACGUAUACGGUGUGACGCCUGCCCGGUGCCGGAAGGUUAAUUGAUGGGGUCAGCGCAAGCGAAGCUCUUGAUCGAAGCCCCGGUAAACGGCGGCCGUAACUAUAACGGUCCUAAGGUAGCGAAAUUCCUUGUCGGGUAAGUUCCGACCUGCACGAAUGGCGUAAUGAUGGCCAGGCUGUCUCCACCCGAGACUCAGUGAAAUUGAACUCGCUGUGAAGAUGCAGUGUACCCGCGGCAAGACGGAAAGACCCCGUGAACCUUUACUAUAGCUUGACACUGAACAUUGAGCCUUGAUGUGUAGGAUAGGUGGGAGGCUUUGAAGUGUGGACGCCAGUCUGCAUGGAGCCGGCCUUGAAAUACCACCCUUUAAUGUUUGAUGUUCUAACGUGGAC